rnacentral:tRNA from 1 species
CUCAGCUUAGCUCAGUUGGUAGAGCAUAUGACUGUAGAUCAUAUGGUCGCUGGUUCGAUUCCGGCAGCUGAGA